rnacentral:lncRNA from 1 species
UGUAUGGAUAUGAUAAACAGUGCUGUAACUGACCGACCGUCUCUAGAGCAAGUGGCAAAGGAUUUGGUAGUUGCUAUUCGAGACCUAAGUUCGAAUUCUAGUUGAUUUACAUUUUCAGCUAAGUUUAUUUCUAAAUGAAAUAAACAAAGCGGGUAGCGUGUUACCUAUCUCUCAAAAAAAAACCAGUGUUGUAACUGUAGCAGUUGCACUUGUAUAAAACUAAACAGAUUAGAUGUAGUUAUGACUGCAGUAUUUAUAACUACAUGUAUUUUUAACUACAUAAUUUUUGUAACCACAUCUAAUCAAACGGCCCCU